ensembl:lncRNA
GUAAACCUGAACUGGAAAUCCAUCUGGCCAGCUGCCUGCUCUAAUGAAUAACCCCACUUUGGCGCGUGCAAUGUAAGCAGAAAGUUCUCUCCCGGCCUCUUUCGUCUGUCAUGAAUCUACGAGACAGCCGACAUAAUAUCUGGGCGACAACGGUGCGCUAACAGUGCACCUUGAGGAGCAUGUGCCUGGUUCCAAGAGGAGGAUGAAAAACAUAAAGACUGGAGACAUCCUAUCUGGGUUCCCCCAGACAAGUUCAGCCUGAUCAAGGAAGCCCCCACUGACCUGGAAAUCCACAAGGGAUAAUGAAGAGUCGCUGACUGUCUAAAGCCACUGCCUUUGAGAGUGGUUUGUUGUACAGCAGCAAAUAUCUGAUACAAUUAUUUCCCCAUGUGUGUUACUACAGAAUGUCUGACAAGAAUCAGGACUGUUCCAGGGCUUUUGGAGCCCUCUGGUCUCUCCGGAUGGUGACAUUCUAUCUUGACAACUCAGAUCCAGCCACCAGAACCUGAAGCCCAGAGCAGACCCUUGAAGGAAUAAGCCAGCCUACCAUAAGCUUGACCCAACCAUCAUCAUCACCACCAUCUUCACUUGGGAGAGUUAAUCCCCCCCCUGCAUCAAGAAGAGAGAGAAAAAAGCACAGAGAGAGAGAGGGGAAAGAAACUGAAGAAAAGAUGAAGGAAGAAGGCAAGAAAGAGAACACUGAUUUCUUUCUCUCAGAAACAGAUGAACUUUCUCUAGGCUUGAGGCUGUGGUUCUGGACAAAACGAGUCAAGAAUCCAGGUCAAAGAGCAAGAAAGAAAUAACUUAAAGGGGUAAAGGUAUAGAGCACAGAAUACCAAGAUCACAUUCAUCUUUUGAAAUACUGAAUGGAUACACAUCAAAGACAAAGGAAGCCAUGGAUGGUUCAUUUCCAGAACCAAGGCUGGUGUAGGCAUCUGAACCCACAGGCCAAAAUACGCAGAACCCUCUAAAGACAAGUAGAAGUGAAUGCUGGUCUGGAUUGUGAGAUCAGAGUUGAGUUCAGUAGGAAAUAGGUGGAAAAUAAAACUGGUCGAUUGAGUGCUACUGGUGUAACCUAUUGUUCUGGAACCCUAAAUGGACAGCCCCCUGUUUUUUCAUUAUGGCGGCUGUGUUUAUACCCAUCAAAAUCGUGG